CCCAGACCCCCCAGUGCCCACCCUGGAUGAAGGCCAGGAGGAUGAUGAUGACCCCAGACCCCCCAGUGCCCACCCUGGAUGAAGGCCAGGAGGAUGAUGAUGACCCCAGACCCCCCAGUGCCCACCCUGGAUGAAGGCCAGGAGGAUGAUGAUGACCCCAGACCCCCCAGUGCCCACCCUGGAUGAAGGCCAGGAGGAUGAUGAUGACCCCAGACCCCCCAGUGCCCACCCUGGAUGAAGGCCAGGAGGAUGAUGAUGACCCCAGACCCCCCAGUGCCCACCCUGGAUGAAGGCCAGGAGGAUGAUGAUGACCCCAGACCCCCCAGUGCCCACCCUGGAUGAAGGCCAGGAGGAUGAUGAUGACCCCAGACCCCCCAGUGCCCACCCUGGAUGAAGGCCAGGAGGAUGAUGAUGACCCCAGACCCCCCAGUGCCCACCCUGGAUGAAGGCCAGGAGGAUGAUGAUGACCCCAGACCCCCCAGUGCCCACCCUGGAUGAAGGCCAGGAGGAUGAUGAUGACCCCAGACCCCCCAGUGCCCACCCUGGAUGAUGGCCAGGAGGAUGACGAUGACGAAGAAGAAGAAGGUGAUGUCGAACACGACCCGGUAGAGCUCGUAAUCGUCCCCCGCCGGAUCCUCGAUCUCAUCCCCAAUUCCUCCCCCGGCCCGGACCCCCACGUACAUGUGGAACAGAACUUGCGGAAGAAGUUGAAGGCAACCACGGUGUACAGGUAAACCACCACGGCCAGCAGCCCCACCGUCAUCACCAGCUGGGCACAGGGGGGCAGGGGGGGUCAGGGCACCCUCAGGACCCCCCAAAAUCCCUCCCGGGGGGGUCAGGACACCCUCAGGACCCCCCAAAAUUCCUCCUGGGGCAGUCAGGGCACCCUCAGAACCCCCCAAAAUCCCUCCUGGGGCGGUCAGGGCUCCCUCAGGACCCACCAAAAUCCCUCCUGGGGUGGUCGGGGGGUGUCUCAGCACCCUCAGGACCCCCAAAAUCCCUCCUGGGGCGGUCAGGGCUCCCUCAGGACCCCCCAAAAAUCCCUCCUGGGGCGCUCAGGGCACCCUCAGGACCCCCAAAAUCCCCCCCCCCCCCCCCCCCCCCCCCCCCCCCCCCCCCCCCCCCCCCCCCCCCCCCCCCCCCCCCCCCCCCCCCCCCCCCCCCCCC
rnacentral:lncRNA from 12 species